GACGAACCGUGCGAACGUUGUUCGGAAUCACUGGGCGUAAAGCGCACGUAGGCGGCUUUUUAAGUCAGGGGUGAAAUCCUGGAGCUCAACUCCAGAACUGCCUUUGAUACUGGGAAGCUUGAGUCCGGGAGAGGUGAGUGGAACUCCGAGUGUAGAGGUGAAAUUCGUAGAUAUUCGGAAGAACACCAGUGGCGAAGGCGACUUACUGGACGACUGUUGACACUGAGGUGCGAAAGCGUGGGGAGCAAACAGG
rnacentral:rRNA from 1 species